GACGAACGCUGGCGGCGUGCUUAACACAUGCAAGUCGAACGGUAAGGCCCUUCGGGGUACACGAGUGGCGAACGGGUGAGUAACACGUGGGUGAUCUGCCCUGCACUUCGGGAUAAGCCUGGGAAACUGGGUCUAAUACCGGAUAGGACUCCGGACUGCAUGGUCUGGGGUGGAAAGCUUUUGCGGUGUGGGAUGGGCCCGCGGCCUAUCAGCUUGUUGGUGGGGUGAUGGCCUACCAAGGCGACGACGGGUAGCCGGCCUGAGAGGGUGAGCGGCCACACUGGGACUGAGAUACGGCCCAGACUCCUACGGGAGGCAGCAGUGGGGAAUAUUGCACAAUGGGCGCAAGCCUGAUGCAGCGACGCCGCGUGAGGGAUGACGGCCUUCGGGUUGUAAACCUCUUUCAGCACCGACGAAGCGCAAGUGACGGUAGGUGCAGAAGAAGGACCGGCCAACUACGUGCCAGCAGCCGCCGUAAAAC
rnacentral:rRNA from 1 species